UACGUAGGGUGCAAGCGUUAUCCGGAAUCACUGGGCGUAAAGCGUGCGUAGGCGGAUGUUUAAGUGAGAUGUUAAAUCGUGUGGCUCAACCAUAUCGAUGCAUCUCAUACUGGGCAUCUAGAGGAAAGCAGAGGCAAGUGGAAUUGGUAGUGUAGCAGUGAAAUGCGUAGAUAUUACCAGGAACACCAAUGGCGAAGGCAGCUUGCUGGGCUUUUUCUGACGCUGAGGCGCGAAAGCCAGGGGAGCGAACGGG
rnacentral:rRNA from 1 species